rnacentral:rRNA from 1 species
UACAGAGGUGGCAAGCGUUGUUCGGAAUUACUGGGCGUAAAGGGCGCGUAGGCGGCCUUGUAAGUCUCGUGUGAAAGCCCUCGGCUUAACUGAGGAUCUGCACGGGAUACUGCGAGGCUUGAGUUCGGGAGAGGAAAGCGGAAUUCCGGGUGUAGCGGUGAAAUGCGUAGAUAUCCGGAGGAACACCAGUGGCGAAGGCGGCUGUCUGGACCGACACUGACGCUGAGGCGCGAAAGCUAGGGGAGCAAACGGG